rnacentral:rRNA from 1 species
UGGGGAAUCAUGGUCAAUGGGCGAAAGCCUGAACCUGCGACGCCGCGUGAGUGAUGAAGGUCGUAAGAUCGUAACACUCUUUUCAGGGAUCUUAAAGCACAGCUGUCAACAACAGCUGUGUGUGACUCUACCUGGAAGAAGCCCCAGCCAACUACGUGCCAGCAGCUGCGGUAAUACGUAGGGGGCGAGCGUUAUUCGGAAUUACUGGGUGUAAAGGGUAUGUAGGCAGCCCUUCAAGUCGCGUGUCAAAGUCCAGUGCUCAACGCUGGGUGUGCGUGCGAUACUGACGGGCUGGAGGGCUGGGGAGGUGAGCGGAAUUCCCGGUGUAGUGGUAAAAUACGUAGAGAUCGGGAGGAAUACCAGUGGCGCAGGCGGCUUACUAGACAGUUUCGGACGCUAAGAUACGAAAGCGUGGGGAGCAAACA